GUGGGGUUGGGGAUGAAGUGGUUGACGCGGUCCCCGAUCACGGCCCAGGUGCGCUUGCCGUCGCUGAGCAUCUGCACGCCGCGUCGCUUGAACCUCUU
rfam:Mycobacterium sp. E787 contig_36, whole genome shotgun sequence.